rnacentral:rRNA from 1 species
UACGUAGGGUGCUAGCGUUGUCCGGAUUUAUUGGGCGUAAAGAGCUCGUAGGCGGCUUGUCGCGUCGAAUGUGAAAACCUGCAGCUCAACUGCAGGCUUGCAUUCGAUACGGGCAGACUAGAGUUCGGUAGGGGAGACUGGAAUUCCUGGUGUAGCGGUGAAAUGCGCAGAUAUCAGGAGGAACACCGGUGGCGAAGGCGGGUCUCUGGGCCGAAACUGACGCUGAGGAGCGAAAGCGUGGGGAGCGAACAGG